rnacentral:tRNA from 1 species
GGAGCUGUGGCUCACUGGUAGAGCAUCUGCUUGGCACCCAUGAGGCCCCAGGUUCAAUCCCUGGUAUCUCCA